rnacentral:tRNA from 2 species
GUCGGGAUAGCUCAGCUGGUAGAGCAGAGGACUA